AACGAGAAGGGUAUCUUGGAUGGUGCAGAGAAAUGGCCAUUGGAAUUUAGAGAAUUGAGCGGAAAAAGGCUUUUUGGAGUGGCUGGAUCGCCUAGGUUUGAUCUGUAUGAUGCAGAUUACGGCUGGGGGAAGCCCAAAAAAAAAGAAGAUUACGGCUGGGGAAAGCCCAAAAAAUAUGAAGCUGCUAACAUCGAUGGGGAUUCGUCAAUGUCCCUUUGUAAGUCGAGGGAUUUCGAAGGAGGUUUCGAGAUUGGCUUAUCCAGGCCUAGAAAUGUGCUAGAUGCCUUUGCAC
rnacentral:lncRNA from 1 species